rnacentral:lncRNA from 1 species
UUGAACUCUUUGUUUGAUUCAGGAACAUGUCAACCAACUUCUUCUCCGGGGAGAUACCUGAUAUAGGAGUUCUCAGAAGAUUUGGAGCUGAUUCGUGAGUUUUUACAUGAUCAAGAACUUUCAGACAAAAGUCUUGUGCUAAUGUUUUGUGUCUGAAUGGUUAGAUUCACUGGUAACUUGGAUCUUUGCGGCCGCCAGAUUCACAAGCCAUGUAGAACAUCAAUGGGGUUUCCUGUUGUUCUUCCUCAUGCAGAAAGUGAUGAUGAAUCAGGCAAGUUCUUGUUAUUAAAAACACACUCAUUCUCUUCCUUUUGUCUUAAACUUUCUAUUUUUGGAAUGUUCACAGAUUCUCCAAAGAGGUCAUCACACUUGAUCAAAGGAAUCUUGAUAGGUGCAAUGUCUACAAUGGCCAUAGCAUUCAUUGUGAUCUUUGUGUUCCUAUGGGUUUGGAUGCUCUCAAAGAAGGAAAGAAAAGUAAAGAAGUACACAGAAGUCAAGAAACAGAAGGAACCUUGUGAGACAAGUAAGAAGCUGCUCACAUUCCAUGGAGAUCUUCCUUACUCCUCAACCGAGCUGAUUGAGAAGCUGGAGUCUCUUGAUGAAGAAGACAUUGUUGGUUCCGGAGGGUUUGGGACGGUUUAUAGAAUGGUAAUGAAUGAUCUUGGAACGUUUGCUGUCAAGAAGAUAGAUAGGAGUAGACAAGGAUCAGAUAGGGUUUUUGAGCGAGAGGUUGAGAUUUUGGGGAGUGUCAAGCACAUCAAUCUAGUGAACAUGCGUGGUUACUGCCGCUUACCAACUUCAAGACUUCUCAUCUAUGAUUAUCUCACUGUUGGAAGCUUAGACGAUCUUCUCCAUGGUAAUUGCACUUGUACUUAUCUUCUCUAUGGUUAUCUGUAGGCAUGCGGGUUCGGUUAGUUCGGGUUAUUCGGUCCGGGUAGUUUGGGUUAUUCGGUUUUCGGUUAGUUUGGUUUAACAUAAAUCCUAUUGAAUUAACCGAAAAUAAAAGUUCGGUUUAGUAUUUGGUUAGUUCGGUUUUUGAAAAUGUUAUUAAAGUUUUUGAUUUUGGUUAGAUUUUGGUUUAAUUUGUUAAAAUUCCGGUAAAUUUUGGUUAUUUUGGUUACUUUGGUUCAAAAUUUGUUAGUUCAGUUGGGGUUUUUGGUAUGGUUUGGAUAUAAGUUUUUAUAAAAAAAAAAAACGAAGUAAUUGAUUGCAGAACCGAACCGAAAACCGAACUAUCUGAAAUUUUUGGUCGGUUCGGUUCAAAAUCCUAGGCCUAGUUAUCAGACUGGUGAUUCAUAUUGAUCUUUGUGUGUAUUUUUGGUUUCUUGAUCUCACAAGAACGAUCUCAAGAAGAUGGUUUGUUGAAUUGGAACGCACGGUUGAGAGUUGCACUGGGUUCCGCGAGGGGUCUGGCUUAUUUGCACCAUGAUUGUAGCCCUAAGAUAGUUCACCGUGACAUAAAGUCAAGCAACAUUCUACUCAAUGAUAAGCUAGAGCCUAGAGUCUCGGACUUUGGUCUCGCAAAGCUUCUUGUUGAUGAAGAGGCUCAUGUUACAACUGUAGUAGCUGGCACUUUUGGUUAUCUUGCUCCAGGUACGGUUCUUUGAUGAGUCUUGGACAACAAGUAAUUUGUUUCGUUUAUAACCUGCUUGCGGAAACAGAGUAUUUGCAGAAUGGUAGAGCGACUGAGAAGUCUGAUGUCUACAGCUUUGGGGUUCUUCUGCUUGAGCUUGUUACAGGAAAAAGACCAACGGACACGACAUUUAUUAAUAGAGGGUUAAACGUUGUCGGAUGGGUAAAAAAAAUAAGCUCAGAUCUUCGGCUUUGAUCCAACAAGAACUGUUCUGUUUCUAAUGACAUGUUGUUUCUAUCAGAUGAACACUUUGCUGAAGGAGGAUAGGUUAGAGGAUGUAAUGGACAAGAGAUGUGUUGACGUAGAUGAAGACUCUGUGGAGGUGUUGAUUGAGAUAGCUGCGAGGUGUACAGCUGCUAAUGCGGAAGACAGACCGGCUAUGAACCAGGUGGUUCAGUUGCUUGAGCAAGAAGUUAUGUCGCCAUCUUCUGCUACUGCAAUAGAUUACUAUGAUGAUUCUCAUUCUGAUUACUGUUAGGGUUUAAAGAUGGUGUAAGAUUACUGAGGUGCAUUGUGCUUGUGCACUGUUAAGGUUAUGUAACGAAAUGUUACAUUUGAAGCAGAAGAUGUUUAACCUAUUUAGUGGACUGCAUUUUUAUUGUAAGAAUUUAUAAAAAAAUUCUAAUAAACAUGAAUGUAAAUAUUUGAGCAAAAUAUUCACAAAAUACUCUUUAAUGAAAAAAAUGACCGAACUAAAUUUUAUUAAAGGAUUUUUUACCUAGAAUUAACUAAUAUAAACUUAGAGUUUAGAUAAGAUAGAGUUUUGGGGAUAUAGUUUUGGAUUUUAAAAAAUAAAAAAUAAAAAAUAAAAAUUUUCAAAAUAAAAAAAGGUUAUAUUAGUUAUUUAAAAAAAAAGAAAUUUAUUUUUGUGACAAAUAUUUUAAAAAAGUUAUUUGAAAAAAUUAUCCUAAACAUUUUGUGUUAAAAUUUUGGUCUUUGUCAGCAUAAUAAUUGUUUUUGAUCUUAUGAGAUUAAAAUGCAUAGAUUUAAUUAAAGAAAAAUGUAUUAGACUCAAGUCACUCAACAAAGUUUUGAUUUUUAUUUUCUGGAAUUUUUUAAUGUUAUCAUCUCUGAAGAAUGACCUUUCGUUUAAUGGUAGAGUCUUCUGCGUCCAUCUUUAAGCCCCAUCACCCUCCUAAAAGGCCAACGCUUUUUUUGUCCCAUUCGCUUCGCUAGUUGCUCACACACGUUCAUACAAAGAUAAAAUAAUUCCUCUCGAGUGACCAGAAAAUUGUCUACCGUUAACACGAGACGCAAUAGUAUUACGUAUUGAUCAUAUGAUAUCGCAUUUUCAUAGAGUAUAGAGAGGCCAUUAUAAUCAAAGUAAUGGACCUAAUUAAUGCUCCUCUAAUGAAAAUUCAAUUCACAUAGCGGUUGGAGAUUUCAUAAGCCAGUUUGGACUUUAGUUUGAGAUCCUAUAUUAUGAGAAUUAUAUAUUAAGAGAAACCUAUAUUUUUUUGCAUGAAUUAAUUGCAAACUGUACUCUGCAAUUAUUAAUAGUAAAAUUUACGCCCAUGACGGUGAACUCAUUUUAAGAAAAAAAAAAUGGCGGUGAACUCAUUAAUACUGCUAUAUAUAUACAGGGAAUUAAAAGGCACUAUGACAAAAAAGAAAAAAAACAAAGUCGACUAGCAUGCACAUGAUCAAGCUUAAAAUUUUAGCGAUAUAACAAACAUAAAAAAAAAAUUGAUUUAAAAUUAGUUAUAUAAAUUUAUUUAAGUGCUGGUUCUGAUGAGUACUUCGUGAUAAUUAUAGUUAGCAUAUUUUCUAAAUUAAAAUCGAUCUCCAUCGCUCUCGGAUAGAUUUGUGAUUAGGUACGUAAGUAUUUGCUAAUCUCGUAUCUAUAUAAUAUGCACAUAUGUGCUGCGUGUGUAUAUAAAAGAGAUGCUAAUCGCUUGUCCUUCUCUUAUUGGUGAAGGGGGGCAAAGACGAAGAGUAUUUUAGCCUUUCUUGUGAUACUUUUAGAUUUUGAGCGGUCUUAUCUUGUUCUACACCUUACCUUUUACCAUGUCUACCGUUCCGGUAAGGCCACCACCUCCUCCGGCUGGUUUACAUCUUCGUCGGAACGCCUCUUCAACGACGGCUUCGAGAUCUGCGGCAAUGGUUGCUGCGGUUUCGAGCAGGCAUUUUCUUGGGUUCUUUACUUAUAAUAGAUGCUUUGAGUUUAAAUCCUUGAGCCAAAUGAGGUAUCCGGCUUUUUUGAGCCGUCGGCAGCGAGUAACCACGGUGGUGGCUUCAGCGGGAAACUUGACGGCUCCGUCGUCGUGGGAGUCUUGGAAGCCAGAUAAGACGGCGGUGGCGACGCCUCUAUUGCUGAGUGAUGUCAUCUGGCCGGCAGCUGGUAUGUGGAUUAUUUAAGGAACUUUUAUAUGCUAAUGACUAAUUACGAUUAUCAUUUGUUUUGUCAAAUGAUAUUGAGAUUAUAAGUUUCACUAAUGCGUUUUUGUUCGUAAAUCAGAAGAACUACAACUGGCGAUUAGGGUAUAAAAGUUGAGAACAAACAAAGUUAAUUAAUUAACUAAUUAAAAAGUCAGAUGUGGUACACAAAAAAAAUAUAAAAUUAAAAAAAAAGACGAGGAGAGAUUAAAAAAAUUGGAUAUAGAGAGAGAGAUGGUGUCUCUUCCUAGUUCCUACGGCCAAUGGUCGUUUAUGACCUGUCUUUAGAGUGUGACAAUUUUGUCGAAUUUACCUUGAAAUUAGGGUAUGGUUUUUCAUGACAAACGUGAAGAAAUAAGCGUAAGCAAGAAAUUUAGAUAUAUUUUAAUUGGUUGGGGAAAAUAUUAUAUGUAUAAGACAGAAAAUAAUUGUGUUUUCAGAUAAAUAUAUCCAAAGAUUAUGUGAUUGUUAAUUACAGUUUAUACUUGAAUCGUAAUAGAUAUAUAUAUAUAUAUAUAUAUAUAGAUAUAUGUGUAUAUAUAGUCAAACUGAUGUUUGUGUCAUGAGAAUCCUAGUUAGUGUUUUUCUUUACCUAUGCUGACACUAGAUUCCUAUUAUUCAAAGGUUAUGUAUAGCUGACUUCUUCCAACAAGUAUGAAAUCAUAUUCUUAUGUGUGUGUGUGUCAGCUAGCAUUAUAUUUACCCAUCUCUGGUUUGAACUAAGUCUGACUUUCAAUGAAAUUCCAAUUAAAAAAACAGAUGAUUCAACUAAUUAAGUCUCUACUAGACAUAUACUCCGCCCAUUUACUAGGAAAAUUAGCAAUUGGUUGAUGAAAAAUACAACAAAAUGUUAUUUUCUGAAAUUACCGUGUCUGUAUCUAUUACAAAGAAAAAAGUAUCUAUAAAAAGAAAAAUGGAGUUACAAUAUUUUUUAUAAAAGUUAUUCGUCUCUUAAAUUUUAAUCUUCUUUGUAAAUAGGAGCGUUUGCGGCAAUGGCAAUAUUGGGAAGAAUUGAUCACAUUUUAUCUCCAAAAGGAAUUUCAAUGUCAGUGGCACCACUUGGCGCCGUCUCCGCCAUUCUUUUCAUCACUCCAUCUGCUCCUGCUGCUCGGGUAAUCUUUAAACCCCUUUUACAUAUAUAUAUAGGUAGCUAUAUAAACAUAACAAGCGGUUGAACACAAACGCUUCUUUGCCAAAAUGUAAACACCAAAGUAAGCUUUAACUAGGGUUUGAACGUGUACAAUCAACAAAAUCAGUGAGGAAUCGCUAUAGUGGAAAGUAGAACGUAGUUCUAUCACAUCGACAAACUAGUUGAAAAAAUUUCCUCAAAUGCUGUUCUCGUGCUUUCACUUUUCUAAGGAAUAAAAAAACUAAAGAGGUCCAAUAUAUUUUCUUUCUGACUAUUGAAGAUAACAACUUCCACCUAAUAUUUACUUUCAUGUAUCAAGUCACAACCUAGGUGUGCCAUCACAUCAUGCUAAAAUAGUAAAAUAGGAAAGAGAUGGCAUCACAUCAUUUUUAAAUAGCAACUUUGAAUGCUAGUAGUAGUUAUGUCAUUCUAUUAUAUUAUUACUUAACUAAUUAAUUGAUGAAUGUCUUGUUUUCUUUACAUUUUUCAGAAAUACAACAUGUUUUUGGCUCAAAUAGGUUGUGCUGCCAUUGGAGUGGUAGCGUUCUCCGUCUUUGGACCAGGCUGGCUUGCCAGGAGCGUCGCACUCGCCGCUUCCAUAGCUUUUAUGGUCAUUGCUCGAGCCAACCAUCCUCCUGGUAAACUAUAUUGUCUCAUUAUUUUUUGCCAAAAAUAAAUGAUUUCUACUUUCUUAAGUUUUAAUAGAGCGCGCGGUCUUAAUUAAGUUGUGUUCUCUAAUUCAUUUUACUAAUAAAUAAACAAAAAUUACAGCGGCGAGCUUACCAUUAAUGUUCAUAGAUGGAGCGAAGUUCCAUCACUUGAAUUUUUGGUACGCAUUGGUCCCAGGUGCGGCUGCUUGUGUCAUUCUCUGCCUUCUCGUAAGCUUUCUAGCUCUUUUAUUUUCUCUAAAUUUACUGUAAAAAAGUAUGCAUAUAUUAUGCUUAGUCUUUAGUGAUAAUAGUUUUCCACUAACAUGAUACAAUUUCUUCUUUUUUGCAGCAAUCGAUCGUAUGUUACAUGAAGGAUAAUCUAAAAUUUUGAUUAAUUGUCAAGCAACAUAUACGAUCAAAUGAUAUAUAUAUAUAUAUAUAUAUAAUAGUAGUAAUAAUGUACAAAUAUACACACAUUGAUGGGAAUCUUGUGAAGAUAUUUGAUUCGUGUGUACACUUGAUUUGAAUGUAUGUAAAUGACUAUAUAUAUAUAGUACGUUCGUUCAGCAUAUGUAAUUCUCUGUUUUUCUCUCCCUUUUGCAUGUUAUCAGUUUUCUUCUUGUUGUUUCGCAUAAAACUAUUUGGUUCAUGAAAAUUAUAGAAACAAAUGUACUGUGUUCCACCAUUAAGUAAAAUUAAUUCGGAUAUAUAUAGACAUACGCUAGGAACUUGAGAGGAAGAUAAUUUCAGUCCCACUAGAGUGCUGUAGAUAUACAUGGGAGGUUAUGUUUAUUUGACACUAUAUGUAGGAGGGUUAAUUAAACUGAGCAUUAAUGUUGUGGGAAGGAAGAUGGAGAAUACGGUGGGCAUAAAAGCAAGUGAGGCGAUGUACAAACCGGACAUAAGCUUGGAUGUGUUGGUCCUGGGCGCCACCAUUGAUGAUGAUAUGACGAUAGUUAAACUAUUAUCCAUUGGGGAUGAAGAUCAUUGGUUGUCAAAGUAGAGCUUGGAGAUUUACAAUGGUUAACCAAAUUGAUAGAAUGCUGAGGAACUGAAGGAGAUUUAUUCCCUUGACCUGUCGCCUCUUUUUUUGGUUGGCCAUUAAUUCACUUUGUUCAUUACUAUAUAUGGAAUCAACGGAUGAUAAAUUGGUAACUAUAAUCCUAAGCAGACUUCUCUAGCCUAAGUUUGCAUACGUCAUUUCAAUGACAUCAUAUAAACAUUUGAAUAAUCAAUCUUACUUACAUAAAGGAAAAUAAUUGAACAGACAAGUUCAUCACCUCGUGAGUGACAUGGAAGAAGAUAACUGCUAACAUAUUUUUCAUUCAGGGUUAUACUUUUCUAAAUACUAAUACCACUUGAAUUAAAAUGGAAGAUUUAUCAUUUGGCCAUUAAAAUAUAAGCAUUCCUGGUUUAGUGGCUAUUACGCUCCUUGUUAGAUCAAUGAUGUUUUUGAUUUAACUAAACUUUAUAACAUUUUUGGCUCUAAUGUAAUCAUACAAAAAAAAAAUUGUUUUUUCUCCAAGAAUAAUUAAAAAAUACUUAUAAUUUUCCCGUAUAUAUACAUACACUCUCGACGGGACCCAACUUUUGAAGCGUACAAUCUUUUUUUUUUCUCUAACGUUUUCAGACAAGACUCUCCAACAUCUGUCCGAAAUGCAGACGAGCCGGUUACUCUCUUACUCCCCCAAUUCUCCUAGUUUCGACAGCUUUUCCUCCGCCGUAGACCUCGCCGCAAUCGCCGCCCGAGUCGUCCAGGAACUCAGAGACCAGGAGCAACAAUUCGACUUCCACCGCGACGACGACAAUGACUUCGAGUUCGCCUUCGACUGUCCAAGCCGCAGGUGUUCCCACCCCAUAGCCACCGCCGACGAGAUUUUCCACAACGGAAAGAUCCGUCCGUUGAAUCCGUACGGUGGUGGAGCUGGAAAUGCUCCGGUGUCUCCGCCUAAGAGUACUCUUCCACGACGCCAUAGACCGGCGCUUAGAAAGUUAAUGAGCGAGGAGCGAGAUACGACGUCGGAUUCUUCCUCGGAGGCGGAGGAGGAUCUCACCGGCGUUGCGCCGGAGAGUUACUGCGUGUGGACACCAAAAGGCGGUGACGACGAUCUCCAAGAACUCUCGUUACAGAGCAAGAUCAAAAGCAAUAAACGAUGGAAGAUGCGGAAUCUUCUUUACGUGAGAAGCAGCAGCGAAGGGAACGGUGAAACCAACUCUGAUCACAGAGAAGAAGAAGAAGAAGAAGAAGAGCCGUCGUCCAAGGUGGUCGGAGAGAAAAGCGAAGAGACGAAACGACAGACGUUUGUGCCGUUUAAUAAGGAUAUGAUGGGAAUAUUGAAAAAUGUUAAUGGGCUUAGUCGUCAUUUACGGCCUUUUUAAAAAAGGUGACGUGGCUCUUUCGUGACAGAGACAACCAUCGAAGACGCGGACUUUAAGUGGCCUUCGGUUUCUUUUUUGACUUUUUAUUUUCUCUCUCAAACUUUUUCUUUUGGUUUCUGAGAAAAUCUUGAGUGUUAGGCGAGAAAGUGCAUGUUUUUGAAUUUUUUUUUAUAGUAUGAACCUCGAUGUGUCGGUUUGGAUUAGGUAUAAAGUUUUGGUGGUUUGAUGGUUGUAAACUUGUAAUGAAGACUAUGGUUUUGUGCAUUUUAUUACAACGCUUAUAUAUAUAUAAAUAACUAAGUUCAAAGUCGAUUUUUAGAAAUUCUGAUUUAAAAAUAACAUUUCGUACUAAACCUAAUUUAAAUCCAAAACACAAUGAAAUCAAUCUCUAGCACUACCACUAAAUCACCACAUACUUUGGUUAAACACUUUUAUACUCACCUAAUGAUAUAUUAUUGUAAAUCCUAUUAUAUUCAGACUACUUCAUGUAUCAUGUAUAUUCAGAACUUGGAUAAAUGUUUCAUGUUUCUUUAGUUUAGACACAGAAGAGUGUGACCCUUUGACGUGUGGAAUCGAAUGUAACUUUUUUAUAAAUAUAGAUAUGGAUUUAUUAAUUUGGAUUAGAAAAUACUUUAGGUGGAUAUUGUGGGAAUGUUUGGUUUGCCUUGAGAUCUUGUUCAAGUUUCUAUAAAGGGAGUAGUUAUGUGUUCACAUUGUUGAUUGCGUAACUCGAGUUAUCUCAACCGCAUACAAAACGUGUACUCGGAAAAGACUAGAUCAAUUCUAUAGUAGUCGUCGAUUCAUUAUAUAAUUGAAGUUGAUCUUUGGUGUCUACUGGCUAGGUUUAAAACAUGUUCAGUGGAGUCCACAACGAAAUUAACAUUUUGGAAUAUUUUUGAAACUGUAUAUACAUUUCGGUUUACAUGUUUAAUGCUUACUACAGUGGGUUUCACAUUUUCACUGUUGGUAGUUCUUGUAGCAUUGGUAACAUUUGUACGGUUUGGAUGAUUAUCAACUAAACAUCUUACCAUCCUAACUAAUUCAACAUAUUAAGCAUCUCUUAGAUUCUCACUAUAACAACUCUUAUUGCUUCAUAUAUAAUCAAAAUACAAUCUCAAGUAUAGCCUACAACUCGUGCAUGUGUCUUUUAGGAAACGCAGUAGAGCCUCAGAUAAGUUGAUACUUGAUAACACGAAAUUACGUUUUGAAAAGAAUGACUUGAAAAUUACGAUUAAUGAUAACUCGCAAGCUUUUUUUAUCAUACACACCGCCCAGUUGUUAUCCUAGUAUACUUAUUAAUAAUAAUACCUACAUAAAGAACAUCAUCAUUUCAAAAUAACAAGCAAGUUGUUCGAAAUCGCAUUUCACCAAACAAAUUAUUAAUCCAAUGUGAAGAUAUGUUUCAUAUAUGAUUUGCAAGUUAAAAUUAUUCGUAAUGAUUUUAGCGGUGGGAGUAGGUCAAUGCACUCUUUAUUCCUACUCUAAGAUGAAAUGAUCGUUGAUUAGUUCUCUUAAUCCAAGUUUAUCCUCUUAAAUUAUUAAAAUAUGAUAAGAAAGAAAAUAAAUAACUAUUGAUGAAAACAAUAAUCCUACUUAAUGUUUCAAAUAAGUUGACGUUAAAAUUUUACACCUAUCAAAAAUAGUUAAUAUUUAUUACAUUUUCGACAGAAUUACUGUUUUCAAAAUUUUACGUGAAAACGUAAUGUUAUUGGGUGUUUUUAACCAAUAAAAGAAUUACAAUUAAAAUUUUAAAACAUCAAUUAAAAUAAAACCGACAGAGUAAUGUCCCAUUUGGGUUUUUAAUUUCGGGUUGGCUUGUUUGGAUCACUUAUAUAUUAAGUACAACUUAGAACAGAUAAUCCUUUACCAAAAUGGUGUUAAAGUAAAUACAUUCUGCACUAAACUUCUUACAGCAUUUCUUAAUCACUUCCACUAAUUAAUAUCCCUCCAACAACUAUGUAUCAGGCAGGAACUGGCCUUGCACCAGAAGAAAGCUGUACAUUAGCAGCGUACUCACGCGCCCACAAGUCAUAGUGAACAAUCUCUUCAAGAGAUGGUGAUGAUACCAACUCGUUUCUAUGUUUAUCACAUGUUAACUCCACUACCUUGAAGAUAUCCAAGUAGCUUAUCCUGCAAACAAAAGAAUGUGUAAAUAAAAACAAUGUGAUUCGUUUUCAACAACAAUUGAGAUGACACUUACUUCUCAUCAAUGAACAUUUCAACGGCUUUCUCGUUAGCUGCACUGAGAACUCCAGUCAUCGUACCACCAGCUCGUCCAGCAGCAUAAGCAAGAUCCAUUGAUGGGUAUUUCACAUUGUCUGGUUUCUUGAAUGUCAAGGAACCAAGUCUGCCAAAAAAGUCACAAAUCUUAAACCAACAAAUUGUUUGGAGAUUUUGUUUUUGGUGGUGAUUAAAAAUCUUGAAACCAAGCUUAAACACUUGAUUAAACUGAGGAAAUGUUUAUAAAUUGUGGUAAGCUUACUUGCAUAGGUCAAGUCUUGGCCAAGUUACUUCAGAACAAGGAACCCUAUCAGGCCAAGACAUGGUGUAGAGAAUCGGUAAACGCAUAUCAGGCCAUCCUAAUUGAGCAAGCACAGAUGAAUCCUAUGGAACAAAACAAUUACAUAUAUAUGUUAAUAGAUUCUUUAUUUCUGAAACCAGAAGAUGAAAAUGCAGUUUCUUCUAGAAGCAAGACCUGUGUUUCAAUCAUGGAGUGAAUGAUGCUCUGAGGAUGAAUGACUAUCUCUAUAUCGUCAUACUCAGCCCCAAACAAAUAAUGAGCUUCAAUGACCUCAAGACCCUGGUUUCAAGCAACUCACAUCUUACACCUUGAUCAAAGGCAAGUAUUAGUUUGAGAAAGCAAAUGAUUUUAACCUUGUUGAAAAGCGUAGCUGAGUCCACUGUGAUUUUCUUUCCCAUGUUCCAGUUAGGAUGCUUAAAUGCAUCUGCUACUUUAACUUCCUUGAGUUUUUCAACAGGCCAAUCUCUAUAAACCAACAUCCAGUGUAAAUAACUUCCAUUACCAAACGAGAAUGACUAACAAACAAAUCUUAUCCAAAGAGAACAAACCUGAAAGCUCCACCAGAAGCAGUCAAGAUUAUCUUGCGCAGAGCGCCUUCAGGCAAGCCUUGAAUACACUAGAGAACAACAUAAAAGAAUAAGAAAAGUUCGCCCAGUGUUCUAAAAAUCGGUCUAGGUGUUAAAAAAAAUCAGUAAUCCCUUAUAGAGCACCUAAUUGCCACCUAAAGAUUUCUUGAACAUUGAUAUUAUCGCCUGAGAUAGUAUGGCAAUCACCAGAAUCAUAUUUUGAUACCUGGAAUAUAGCUGAAUGUUCUGAAUCUGCUGGAAGGAUCUUAACAUUAUGUUUGUUGGCGAGUGGAAGCACAAAAGGACCACCUGCUAUUAAUGUCUCUUUGUUAGCAAGAGCAAUGUCUUUGCCAGCUUCAAUUGCAGCAACAGUUGGCUGCAUGAAAAUAAACAAUCAUCUUCUAACAUUCAUACUCAUAUGCUCUAGUAAAAAUACAAUAAGAGUAUAUAUGUAUACCUUUAGUCCAGCGCAGCCUACUAUUCCGGUAACAACAGUUACAGCGUCUGGGUGGCGAGCAACCUGUUGAUGAAUUUUAAGCAAAAAAAAAAAAUCAAUGAGGAUCUAAAAAACAAACUAUGAUCAGAACUUUUAAAGAGUGCACAAACCUCAAUUACUCCUUGCUCUCCAGGGAUAAUCUCAGGUUUAUAGUCCAAAUCAGCUAAAGCCUCUUUGAGCUCAUUGAGUAAUGACUCGUUUCUAACUGCAACCAAUGCUGGUUUAAAUCUCUUUACCUGCAUUCAGAAGAGUGUCACAGAGCUAUAAGAUAGAUGUUUCUCGAGCUCAUUUGCUAAGCAUCUAGUUUACAAUAUCUUGCUUAUGAUAAUUACAAAACUGAGAGAUAAAAACUGAUUCCUGGAAGUCUAAAUGAUGACUUGGGGAGAGUUGAUUACUUGUAAACGGAUGCAUGAUGCUUAUGUACCUGAUCAGCAAGGAGAGUAACAUUGGAACCAGCAGCUAAAGCCACAACUCUAAAUUUGUCAGGAUUCUCAGCCACAAUGUCCAAUGUCUGCAUAUAAACAAAAAAAAACAAGAGUCUGUAAGUUCUUAUCCAUGAGAAUGAUUCAAAAAAACAACUAAUUCAGUAUCAUCAUAAUGAAGUAUAUCUUGGAGGCAUGAAAAAUAUAUAAAUGCCUAGUCAUCUCAAACAUAAUCUACUGUCUGGUCAUACUCAAUAACUACAAAACAAUGCCUUAAUCCAAGCGAUGGAGCUAAAAUGAUAAAUAAAACAAAGAACCUGAGUGCCAAUGGAACCAGUAGACCCAACGAUGGAGAUGGGUUUAGGCCCAUCCCAAGAUUGACGAGGCAACUCAGGAACAGCUCUCCCAGGCCAUGCUGGAGGAGGAGGUUGCUGCACUGAACACUUGACUCCUUUUCCAAAACCUCUCCGUUGAUUCCUCUUCUUCAAACUAAACCCACCUGCGACAACUCCCAAAGAUGUAAACUUUCAUCCUCCCAGAACUUAACUAACCCCAAAAGUGUCAAACUUUCAGAGCUAAAUCUCACAACUAGUGUUUAAAAUCGAAAAUUUUUACAGAGAAUUUGAGUUAACGAAAACUAAUGAAAGAUUGAAGCUUUUUUUGGAAUGCAAACCUGGGAGUUUGGGGGUUGGAUUGAACCUGGAGGAGGUAUCCAAGAAGGAAGAAAGAGAUUUGGAAUCAGCUGGAGAGAGUGAGGUAAGCGUCAUCAUCAGUCCUUUUUUUUCUUAAAGAUCGAAUAUUUCUCACUUGUUUUUUUUUAUUCUAAACUCGAUGAUGAGAGAAGAAGAAGUAUAAUAGUUUGGAAGAAAGCUGAAAGAUGAUAAGAAGAAGAAUGCAAUCUGACUGGUUACACGUUCAGAUUUUUUUCCUUUUGUGAUUUCGUUUUGACGUUAUUAUGCUGAGAUCCAUCAACCUCUAUCAAGGUAACGACACGACACGUUCUCAAUGGUGAUACAUUUAUAAAUGAUCCCAUUUUUUUAAGUUUACAUAUAAAAAAGAAUAUCCUAAAAAUAGUGUUAUGAUGACCUAUUUAGAACAUCUAAUCUCUUUAUAUUAAUUGAAAAAAAAACAUCAUCAUAGUUAUAUAAGAAAAUGACAAGGUAAAGGUGGUAGGUUUAUGUUUUGUGAUUCACACACAUGUCAUCUUCAAUCACUUAGUUAUGUAUUGAUCUUUGAUUAUAGGUAUAAAAACAAAUUCUAAGACCAGUAGCUGGGAGAGAGUUUUGCUCAUUGCAUGCUGCGAUCCAAGAAGAGCGGAUCAUAUUAUAUAGUGUCAGUUGAUAAAGGUUAUGUCCAACUUUAAAUAUAACUACAUCUAAAUAACCAUAACCACUUUCUAAAUAUUAAUACAUAUGUUUAGAGAAACAAUUACUCCUUCCGUUUCAGAAUAUAUGAUGUUUUAGAAGAUUGUUUUUGUUUCAAAAUAGAUGAUGUUUUGAAAUUUUUAUAUUAUCUUUAAUUUUACUGAAAACUGUGCAACCAAUCAGAUACUGCAGUCAUUUAUGUAAUUGGUUGAAUGAAUUUUAAAUUAUAUUUUUAAGUUACUUUUUUGAGAGAAAAGAGAUUUCUUAAUCUUUGUGCAUUCAGCCAAACAUCAUGUAUUGUGAAACAGAAUGAGUAUUUGAUAACUGCUAAAUAACCACCUUUUAGGAAACGUCAAACUAAAGGAGGGGACCCACAUAUUCUGAUGAUCGAUAAAUGAUAUAUUUUUUUGUUUUACAUUUUUUAUCAAUUUAAUGCAAAACAUAUUGUUUUAUCAAUUUACUUACUAUUUGAUUAAUAAACAAAACUGCAACUAUACUCUGUUUAGGAAUAAAAUACAAAAUUAAUGUGUGAAAUGACUAUGGCACAAAUGUAUUGUUAUGCAACAUCACAAAUUCAAUACAAUUAUCAAAACUUCUUAUUAACUAUUUUUAAAAAUAUUUUACACAAAUAUAUAAUUACAAAGAAAACACACAUAUGAUUACAAAGAAAAACACAUAUGAAAAACUAAAUUUAUAAAAAAACAAUGUAAAACAAAAAAAAUAUACCCGCCUUUUGAAGGCCGAUCAGAAUCUAGUAUAGUUUUACUAGAUUACUGGUUGAUUAAUCUACUAAUUCGUGUCAAUUAAUAAUUCUUAGAAGAAUAUAAGAAUUUUUUUGAGGCCCAUCUAAUUUGAGGCCCAUUAAGUCUGAGGCCUCUCGAUAUGAGCAACGCCUCGAUGAUUAAUCAUCAUCAUCAUCAUCGCCUUUUUGUUUUCUUCUCUGGAGAGGAGAAGAUCGCUUCUCUCAUCACUCGUCUCUUCUUCUUCUUUGUCACUUGUGAUUUGGAUUCGCUGAAGGUCGGUGAGCUGCUAUGGCAACUCAUCCGCAGACCCAUGAAAACCCCUCGAUUUCAGGUUCGAUCCCACGAAAACUAUUUAUAAUUGAACGAGUUACGAAAGUGUCUAAACCCUAGAAAAGGUUGAGCCUUUCUUGUGUUGUUGUUGUUUACAGAGGCGACGAAUGAGGUUCAGCAAGGUAGCGAAACUGCAAAGCUGGAGUCUGUGUUUAAGAACUCUGAACCGAUACGGGAGGAUCAGAUUCAGAACGCUAUCAAGUUCCUUUCUCAUCCGAGAGUUAGAGGGUCUCCUGUGAUUCACAGAAGAUCGUUUCUUGAGAGGAAAGGUCUCACCAAGGAAGAGAUUGACGAAGCUUUCCGCCGUGUCCCUGUAAAGCUCUCUCUCUUCUUUACUUGUUGUUGUUGUUUUGAUCAUAUGGAAUUAUUAUUUUUUACCUUUGUAAAUAUCUUGAUCAUGUAGGAUCCAUCACCAAGUGAGCAGACAGCUGUUACCAGUCAAGGUACAUAAGCCUGAGGCUGAGACAUAUAUGUUCCUUUGAUGACUUGAUUGGAGGUGUGUUUAUGAUAUUCUUAUGUUACGAACAGAUGGACAGCAAGCGGUGCAAGGGCAGAUACAAGCCGUGCAGCAUGCUCCUGCUCCCGUUGUUAUGAUUCCGCCUCCAAGUUUGCGCUCUCGCUUUCGCUGGUACCAUGCUGUUCUUGCUGUUGGAGUAUUAGCCGCUUCUGGUGCUGGAACUGCUGUUUUUGUGAAGGUACCGUUGACCUGAAAACCCCUUUUAUCAUCUCCAUUUAUAUGCAGUGUAUUAAGAUGAACAUUGAAUAAAGGAUGGUUAGGCCAUUAUUUAAAUGGAAGAUAACACUUUUGGAGCUCAUUGUUUUAUUCUCCAUUUAUAAUUCACUGAUUGCUAUAUGUGUUUUAAUACUCCAUGUGGAAUGCAAGUUUGUAGUAUUAGUUUCCUUGUACAAAAUCAAGAUCACACUGAAGUGAGAUUUUUUUUCUUGUUUCAGAGAUCUCUUAUCCCCAGAUUAAAAUCAUGGGUCCGCAAGAUUAUGUUGGAAGAAGAAAGUGAUCCUCUGGAGAAAGCUGAUGCAAAACCUAGCUUAGCUGAAGAGGCAGUAGCUGCAGCCAAAGCUGCUUCGGCGGCUGCUUCUGAUGUAGCCAGGGUUAGUCAGGAAAUGAUGAAAACCAAGAGUGAAGGUAGAUGUUAGUUCUUCUUUCUUUCUUUCUGUAACUACUUCUACUCUUGUUUCUUCCUUUCCCACUGAAACCAAAUUUGUGCAUUGUUUCUUGCUGUCAGAGAGGAAGAAUUUUGAGGAUUUGAUGCAACUCUUAGGCGUCCAAGUACAAGAAAUGAAGUCCUUGAGCAAUAAUAUCCGUUAUCUCGAAAGUAAUUGUUCAAGCUUUUUUGUAUUGUCCAGACUCAUAUCUUAAUUUUGAAAAGUUACAACUUAAUUCCUAUCAAGAGCCAUAUAGGUUCUAGUUGCCUCUGAUUGAUCUUAAGAGCCACUGUCAAAGCUUCUUGAUCUAAAGAGUAAUCCUCUGUUUUUACUUCUUACUUUCAGGGAACUCCAACAACCUCCCCAAAGUUUAUUCAGCUAACCAAGAGGUCUAUAGUGGUUUGGUCAAAACUCCGGCAGAAAGGGUGAGUUUAAGGUCGAAGUGUUUUGCAAUAAUCUUUGAUGCAUAGAGUAAAUGAUCCACAAACAGAAAUAAAACCCAAAACAACUUUUUUAUUGAGCAUGAAUUAAUAGAAAGAGAAUCUGAAACCAAAAACACCCCAAAGAGAAGAAUGAUCUCCACUUGAACUUGAUGUAGUCUCUUUUGGUAACAUUUUAGAAUGUUGAUAUGUGAUGCAGAGACCCUAUGCAAAUGGCAGCAACAUUGAUUAUGACUCGCGUUCAGGUUACCUCCUCUCUCUGGCUCAGUGUGCGUUUUGUUCUGUUGCAUUUUAUUAGGUUGGUUCUCUCUAACUAAUUAAUAAUAACAGCACGGUCUACUUCUCCUCCUGCACCACCAGCUGAUUCUUCUCAGCCCCCUCAUCCAAAGUCAUACAUGGAUGUAAUGUUCUGAAACCUAUAAAGUUCGCUGCGUUUAUAAUGAAUCUUUACUAACAUUGUGUUGAAAACUGGUGAUGUUGCAGAUAAUGUCUAUGAUCCAGAGAGGAGAGAAGCCUUCAAACAUUAGGGUAAACUGAAAACCAAUUUUUUCUUUUGGCACCAUUUUAGACUCACCUGUGACAAAAUGAUCUCACUUUCACUGAAACACAGGAGAUUAACGACAUGCCACCCAAUCCAAACCAACAGCUACCAAAUCCUCGCAUCGCUCCUAAAGCUAAGGUACAAACUUAAUUUUGAUCUAAAACAAACAUUCUUUGUGAUGAAUCUUGGUCUGAUUUGAUUACACAUGAUCUCUUACUAUUAUCAGCCAUGGGACUAUGGUCAACCGCCUCAAGACGAGAGUUCCAACGGUCCAUGGUGGCAACAGAAGAACCCUAGAUCUGCUGAUUUCGGUUAUGAGACAACAACGGCACGUUCCAUCGGUAUCCAAAACGAAACAAGUACAACGGAACCAGCAGCUAUCCAGAAGCAGCGAUCAUGGGUUCCUCCGCAACCACCUCCAGUUGUUAUGCCAGAAGCAGCCGAGGCCAUUCGCCGUCCUAAGCCACAAGCUAAGAUAGACCAGGAAGUAGUAGCUGCUGCUAGUGAUGACCAGUCAGGUGUGAGCGACGAGUUGCAGAAGGUCACUAAGUUCUCUGAAUCUGGUGGCGAUGGAUCAGGAAGGUUGGAGAUCACAGAGAUUCAAGAAGAAACAGAACAUCAACAUAUCGGACAAGAAGGGAACUAGGAAACUCAAAUACUUAAUGAUGUUUGCUUGUAAGAAACUUAUACGUACGCACCUUAAUUUAAUGAUAGUUAUAAAUCAAACCCUUGUUACACAAUUAAAGCUCAGUCAUUGUGGUUGCUUACCUUAUUAAGUAUAUUGAAACUUUUAUCACACAAGGAGCAGCAAGAAUCAUUAGGCCAUGAAUAUCGGUUGGACUAAAAACAGAGUCCUUAGGAUAUUUUAAUCAUAUUUGUAGUUUAGGACAAUUAUAAGGACUUUGGUUAAUUUAUGUGAUUAUUAGUGGGACUUUUGUUUGGUCCUUAAGUAUUAUUUUUUUUUUUGCUGAAACUUAAAUAUAGAAGAUAAGUUUAGUUACUUCAAUACACAUUAACAAGUGUUUCGUAAGCUAUCAAAAACCUACAAACCAUUUAACCUAUCAUCUCUACGUAAAUACAAAUCUAAAACAGAGCUAUCGAGGACACAAUAACAAAGACAAUUGUUGAUACGAUACAACUACCAAGCUAUGAACGAUCAUCAUCAUGAUUCAAUAAAGAGACAGAAUGUAAUAUACUUAACUUAUCAUCACAACAAAGAUUCACACGAAUACAGGCGAGGAAACAAUACAGAAACUGAACCUAAUCAACAGAACAAAUAAUCAAAAUAUAGAAUCGAUAACACCCUCUGUAAUCUACCAAAUAAUCCAGAAACUGAACCUAAUCAACAGAACAUAUAAUCAAAAUAUAGAAUCGAUAACACCCUCUGUAAUCUACCAAACAAAUCCUCACAACUAAAAUCGAAGAACCCAUCAUGCGGAGGAAGUAGAUCGAUAACGACAAAGGAACACAUACCUUUUUAACUGAAAACAAACGGCAGGGAAUGGGCUUAGAGACAGGCUCCGGAAUGACUCGUGAGGGCUUCGUGACCGAUUCGGGGGAGAUGAGAGGAGAGAUGAGAGGAGAAAACAGCGAGCACGUCGUCGGUGUACUAUCGCCACAUGAGUCGCCAGAGAGAGAAUCAGAAGACGGUGAGAUCGAUAAUCUGAAACGAAACGAGGGUUUCCCCUACCCGACGACGCCGUUUCAUCUCCACUCGACAGCUGGCAACGAAGGAUGACAUUUAGAUCGACCUUAGUUAAGGCUCGUCCCGCAUAAUUAAACCCAUUUUCUAUUUAUUUUUCGGCCCAAAAUUGCUAAGGACCAAGAUUUGGACCACCGAUAACUAUGGCCUUACGUGCUAGUUUCUUAUGGUUCUUUUACAGCUUCCAUAAAUGUUACUCCCUAUUAAUAAUAGACUUUCUAGAAAAAACGUUUGUUUCAGAAAGAUAUUUUUUAUGUUUUUUAUGAAAAAAUUAUAAAUUUUAAAAAAAUUAAUUGAUUUUACUGAAUUACUAUUGGUUAAAAGUUAUUGAAAAUUACAGAAAACGAUACAUUUAUUAUGAUAGUUUAAUGUGUUUUCUUAAUAUGCGUGAAAAUACUAAAAAGUCUAUCUUUUAAGAACGGAGGGAGUACAAAAUAAUCUAAUAAAACUACUAUAACUGUAACAAAUUACGUAGAUUCAACUUGCCAAAAUUAUAAUCAUUUCAGUUUCCAACCAACAAAAAAAAAAGUGACAUCCUUUUCUUUCUUCCUACUCAAGAAAAGCUUACAACUUCGGAGCUUCCUCGUCUUCAUUUUUGUAUCUUCAUUAGCAUCUCUUCUGAUUCUAAUUCUUACCCUAACGAUGAAGCUGGACAUUACCAUCCAUAGCUGCAAGUGUCAAGCUCGGCCAAGCUCGAUUUCAGCAUUAGUAAACCGCUUUUCUUUAUCUCCAUCUUCAUCGUUCCAGUUCGUUGUUUUAUAGUAAGUUGCGUAUAAUAUAAGUUGUACUAAACCGGAUAGGGAUCCAAGACCAUUCGGUAUCUGUUUUUCAUGAAACAAACCAAUAUAUUAGCGCCUAUAAAAAGAUAUACCAAUUGAGUUGAACAUAUUAUAGGGGUGAAAAAGGAAGUUUACCAAAAUAUAUGGGUCGAAUUUAAGACAUGCAUAAAUGACCCAAACGACUCCGUUCAUGAAGCUGGCUAGUGACAGGAAGAACGGCAUGUACUUCACGCUCUUUGUCUUUAUCACAAGUCUCUGUUGCACGUUAAUUAAACACAUUAAAUGUUAGUUCACAAGACAACAAAGAAGAAGAAAACAAUGAUAGAAACCGUUUCUUGGCAUAUACGUGGACCGUGAUUAGUCUAGACUCUUGUAGUCUUGUUCAUGAUUAUUCUAAUUCUAGCUCAUGCAUGCUAGUAUGUUGGUUUCAAAUCUUCUGUAUGAUCUCAUUAGUCAAAUCAUUAACCAGUUAAGGUGAUCGCACUUUGGAUAGAACAUUGGUUAAUAUUAUAGAGAAAUGAAUAAGAAUAAUAGCUUACCAUCACGGUCAGUGGAGAAGCAUACAUGAUAACAUUGAAAACAAUGCACAUGAUCCCAAUAAGCAUAGAUCUUUGUUUUGUUGUAUGCAAAAAAUACAGUGUGCAAAAGAUCACCACCGCCAUGAAUAUCAUCUCAACCACCAUAGCUAUUGUGAUCUUUCUCUGUGUAAAAAUCAAAUACGCUUAUUAGAAACAAUUAUCAGUAAUAAAUCUAACUCACACCUAAAAGUUAGUUCUAGAGUAGAUAGGAUUGUCAUAUCACUUAUAUAUUGCCCAAUGACCCUAUAACUCAUGAUGUAAUUAAGACAUCUAAUAACGAUCUCAAAUCUUUCUUGGUUACAAAAAAAGCAUUAUCGUGCAUGCAUGCGUAUUCACAUUAAAGAACUAGAAACUUACGCGGAUAGCUGAGGUAGCGAAGAUGAAGAAGAUAGUGACAUAAACGAGUUCCAUGAAAAGACCAGUUCCAUUAAUGGUAACGACGAGGAGACUAUCGGGAUGGACAAAAGGAAGUCCAUAAAAACUCCACAUCAUGCAGUUUAAAACCGUGGCUAGGUACGGAUCUGGCUUAAACUCCGACACUGACUUCAUCUUCCAUAUCUUUAUCAUCGUUGGUCUGCAUAGUUUUCACAUAUAGUAUAUAAAAUAUAUUUCAUUGCAUGUAAUGGUUUAUAACAACAUGCAGAAACAAAGAAUAUCUAAUACAGUAUGUGCUUACAUUGGAGAGCAGAACAAGCCGAAAGAGAUCACGUUUCCUGGACAUAUGAUAACCCAAAAAACAAUCAAUAAAGUUAAUAAAAUUACUUAUUUUUUCAUUAAUUAGCGAGGUUUGUUUUGUUGAUUGAACUAUGAAAUGUAUGUUUGAUUUAAUUUUGUGAGGACUUACCGAUGAUUCCAACGAUCGUCCGGGCAGUAUGGGCGUCCGUCAUGUUGCUAUGUAUCUUGAAGAAGUCUUGUCUUUUAAAGAUUUUUCUAUUCCUGUUCGAUGAUGUUUCACUCUUCUUUAUAUAUUUUCUUUUAGUGUAUUUUUUUUGUUUAUGUUAUGUGAUAAGUUUGUUUUUUUUAUGAAGCAACUCUUUUCUGUUAUGGUUUCUUGGUUCUGUUUUCUUAGUUUUUAGUAUUUGGAUUAUUUAGGGUUCUGUUUUUAUCAACAAACGGUAAGAAUUGGAGUUUAAUAGCAAGUCUGCGAGUCAGUAGAGUAUGAGUCGGUAGAGUAACUAAUGCGUGACAAGUGUUUACAAUAUGAACCAUGAAGCCGUUGAGUACCCCAUGCAUGAGCAACAUCCGUCUCUUCAUUCGCAUUCAAUUCUUUCUGAAAAAUAGUUUCAUAUCAUAUUUUAAUGCCUGCCAUUUUUAUUAUUUCACUUUCUGUUUCAAUUUGUUUUUUUGUCAUCAAGACAUCUGUUCUACAUGAUAAUUAAAUCAGUUGCAGCUCUAUCAUUUGUUUUUCUCAACCUUUGGUUAAUCAUUAAUUCAUAGCCUGAGACUUAUAACUAAGUUAGACAGCCGAUGAAAAUGAAUUCAUGUAUUAGGUUUCAUUAGAAAAUUAGAGGUCAGAUUAGUCGUCAGUACUAUCUUCCUUAGGACAUUACUUAACUUUGAUCCAGAUAACCCGUGAUUAAGGGAAAAAAAAAGUUACCCUCGUGAGUUAAGUUAUUUUGGAACAAGAGAAAAGAAGAGUAUAUACAUUUUCUUCCAUUCAUAUGCGGGUCGGAACGUCCCGGGCACAUGAGAUCCAGUACAAACUUGAUGUUCAACUAAAGAAAAUCCAAUGCGGCCCAUAUUGAAUUGAGGUAUGUUAAUAGUUUUAUAUGAUUAUCGGUUAUGAAAAAUGUGAUUGAUCGUCGAAUUCGUUGUGCUGAUAAGUUUUUGAAGGCGUUUAAUAUAGAGACUAGAUUUGGACCCGCACAACCGUGCGGGUACUAAUUUUCAUGUUUUUAUAUAUAUUUUACAUAAUUAAAAUAUAUUUAUAAAGUUACUUAUAUAUUUAAAUGUUUAUAUAUAAUAAUUUGAAUAUAUAACAAUUUGAUAGUUUUCAUGCUGUAAGUUAAUUGAUUAUUUUAAAUCAUCACAUAUAUUUGGUAUUUUUUAUUAUUAUAUUUUAAAAUUAUUUUUAUUUAAUUAUUAUGAUCCUGAUCCGUAAUUCAAAGCGCUAGAUUUUCUUUAUCAAUAUUUUUUUAAUUAUAUUAUGAUUUAAGUAGUUAAAAGAUUAUAUAUUAGCAUUAAGGAAAUAUAUUUAAUACAAAUUUUAAAUAAUGAUCCGAAUAAAAAUAUCAUACAUGAAUCAAGGUGAGGUUGUUAACCCAUCCGGAUUUUUAGGAGUGGAUGUUAUAUUAGGAAUGAUAUAUUAUAAAUCUAUAUUAUUAGUAAUAAAUGAAUUAACUAAUUUCUAGUGAGGGUCCAUUUUUAAAAAAAUCAUACAUGAAUCAAAGUUGUGACUUGUGUUUUAAUAUAUAAGAUGUUUAUUUUCGUUAUAAAAAACAUUUAAAACCUUGGCUCCCAUUGUCCCUUUGUAACUUUGAGGCUUUUCUUUUUUAGAGGAUUUCAUGUUAAUUACGUCAUUGGUCUUCUGCGUAUGGCCUUUUUCUUUUGUAUAAUGAAUCAUAUGAUAUAUAGAACUGCAUGAUUAAACAAAACUUGUAAAACUGUGUUUUGAAUAUGAGAAGGUAUUUGUAUAUUACAUUUUAUAGUUUAAUUAUAACUAGUUUCAUUUCGCAGUUUUCGUUUCAUUAAGUAUGUUUAUUUGACAUAUUAAAUCCAUGCUUUGUCAUUUUAUUGUAUUAUUAGUCAGCUAUUUCUUAUAUAUUUUUUGGAAGUGUUGGUGGGAAUGACUUGUAAAAUACUGAAAUAAAAUACAUUUUUCAACUAGCUAGAGAGUAACAAGCCCCGUGGUCCUCCUUGUGAACAACACCUCUCUAAUUAACAGACUUUUGCAUUUUCAUAUUCAUGGUGGUUGCGUCGAUAUAUAGAGUCGUAGGUAUUACUCCAACAAUUAACUUAUCUUUAUAUAUUUAUAUAACUUUUGUUAAUCAUUGAGCUAAGGCUUUUGGUAGAUGUCCUCACAAGGUUUUGAUCCCCAACAUCCAUCUAUAAAUCAUUAUAUAUAUAUAAACACAUGUAAUAUCGAUUAAUUAACAACACUUUUAUUUUCUAAAGCAGAACUGUACAAUCUGUAUCUAUUAACAAACAAAAAUGAAUUAUUUGGUAAGAAUGUUCGAUAUAUAAAAGUUGCUAUGAUUCUUUUGUGAAUCUUGAAUUUUUGUUGCUGGUUGUUGCCAACGAACUCUUGUUGGUCGAGUUUACAUUAUAUUAUGGAGUAAAUUCCAUGAUAAAGUUUUUGAAAAUAUACAGGUCCACAUAAAAGACCAGGCCAUUUUCUACAAGUAUAAAUAAAAUAACAAAUAUUAUAUAAACAGUUGCAUACCAUACUAUUUUUCUAUUUUAAUUAUAAACAUUAAUUUAUAAUAAUAGUCAAGUAGCAUGAUAAACAUAUUUUUAUAACACAAAAAAAAAAAUUGAUAAAUCUUUCUUAUAAUGUAUUUGUUGAAAUGCUGGUUUCAGUGAUUUUCUAUGGAGAUGUUUUGUUUAAUGAUAUAACAUCCUAAAAUUCUAUAUAAAACUCAUAAUAUGCUAGAACAUCCACAUUAGGAGUAUUUUAGAGUAUCCAAUGAGAACAAAAGAAAAAUAUUGAAAAAGAAGGAAAAUGGUGUGGAAAUGCUAUAAAAGUUUUUUAAAUUAGAUAUGUAAUAUUUUUCUUUUUGAGAAGCCCAUCUUCACAUGUCAUAUUGGUUUAAUUUUUUUUUUAAAUAAAUAGAUAAUCAAAUUUUAAGUAAAAACCAAUGUUGUAUUUGGUUUGAUACUUAUAAGAGUAUCUCACCAUUGAAGAAGUUUUUUAUGCUCUAUAGUCAUAGUAUUUCACAUGGCAUAUCCGAGAGAAACACAAAAAUAACAAAAACAUGCAUUCAACAGUACACAUAUGAAUGAUAUCAUCAGCCAUCUUGACUUGUCACUAUUGCUCAACGUGACUAUUAUUAAAGAAAGACUGCAUAGUAAAUGGUUAUUACCGUGGCGUAAUAAUAUGUAUUGUAACAACUGGUGUUGUGUCAUUAACUCAAGAAGCAAAAGAUGGAUGCUCAUCAUGUGAGUUCACCACCGCUCCUUCAAAACAAAGCCACCAAACACCCAUCUAAACACACUAUAUUUAAUUAUCUCACUCCUCUCAUAUUAAAGUAAUCAUCACCUCACUUUUAUCUCUCUCUCUCUGUUUUAUUCUUCUUCUUGUGAAUGGUGUUGUAGAGAAGAAGAAUGGCUUCAAGUGCUUCAAAGUUCAUCAAAUGUGUAACUGUUGGUGAUGGUGCCGUUGGUAAAACCUGUAUGCUCAUCUGCUACACCAGCAACAAGUUCCCUACUGUGAGUAGUUCGUUAACUACACCUCUCUCUCUCUGAAAUUUUGAUCAAGAAUCUCAUCUGGGUUUCUCAGAUUCACUUGAAAGUUCCAAUCUUUUACUGAAAAUCUUUCUGGGUUUGUCAAAUUUUAGCUUCCCUAUUGCUUAAAGGUUCUUAGAAUUCAUCGGUGUAAUUCAAAGUUAGCUCCUUUUUAUAGGGAUUAUGCAUGAACUAAGAUCCAGCUUUGUGUUUCUCCUAACAACAUCUGGAUUCUUCAGAAUGUUCUUGAAAGUUUCAAUCUUUUACUGAAAAUCUUUCUGGGUUUGUCAAAUUUUAGCUUCCACAUUGCUUAAAGGUUCUUAGAAUUCAUCUGUGUGAUUCAAAGUUAGCUCCUUUACUAGGGGGAUUAUGCAUGAACUAUGAUCCAGAUAUUUGUGUUCUCUUUCUCCUAACAAUCUUUCUUUAGAGUUGAUUUAUGCAAAACUGUGAAUUGGUUGUAAACAGGACUAUGUACCAACGGUUUUUGACAACUUUAGUGCAAACGUUGUAGUUGAAGGAACUACUGUGAACUUAGGGCUAUGGGAUACUGCUGGUAACCAACAUUUCUUUUCUUUUGAUUGAUUUGAGAUAUUGUUGCAUAGACCAAGAUCCUGUUUGGGUUGUGUUUUGUUUUGCAGGGCAAGAAGACUAUAACAGAUUAAGGCCUUUAAGUUACAGAGGAGCAGAUGUUUUCGUCUUGUCUUUCUCAUUGGUCAGCCGAGCUAGCUAUGAAAAUGUUUUUAAAAAGGUUUUGAUUCAUGCAUCUCUCUUUGAACUCAAUAAGACUUGUAACAAUGUCAAGUCAUUUCUAAUGUUAUGUAUGACUUCUUCUUGUUGAGUCUCAGUGGAUCCCUGAACUCCAACACUUUGCUCCAGGAGUUCCAUUAGUUCUUGUCGGUACCAAAUUGGGUAAGAAACUGAUGAGCAUUUGCCUCUGCAUUGUUUCAGAUAUGUUGCAUGUAUUAUUGAUUCUUAGUUACUACAUCAAAAUGUAGAUCUCCGUGAGGAUAAGCAUUAUCUGGCUGACCAUCCUGGACUAUCCCCUGUAACUACUGCACAGGUUUGAUCUCAGUAGAUUUCAGUAGCUUUGUGUGUGUAUGAGUUAAACGUUUUGGGGUGACAGGGAGAGGAAUUGCGUAAGCUAAUUGGUGCAACAUAUUACAUUGAAUGUAGCUCAAAAACUCAACAGGUAUAUAACAGAUUCAUUUACAUUGACUCGAGCUGCAUAGUCUUAGACAACUCUUGAGCGUUGAGAGUUUACAUUUUGCAGAAUGUCAAAGCAGUUUUUGAUUCGGCAAUCAAGGAAGUGAUCAAACCGGUGGUUAAACAGAAGGACAAGACCAAGAAAAAGAAGAAGCAACAGUCGAAUCACCACGGGUGUUUAUCGUGAGUGUAUACACAACAAACCUUCAUAGAUUUCUGCUUCUAGAUUCCUUUGAAAAAGAAACUGACUUCACCUCUUUGUUUUUGGACAGAAACGUUUUGUGUGGGAGGAUAGUGACUCGGCAUUGAUGAUAACCCAAACUCUGUCUGAUGUUUUGUAUUCCACUUUUGAGUUUGUAUGAUAAAUGAGAGACAUUAUAUAUAUAUAUAUAUAUAGAUUGAAUCAUAGUCAAUCAAUAGUUUACAUGGAAGAGAGAGAUAGAGAGCUUUUACUAUUAUUGUCAAACUCAAUUAUGUUUUAUUUGUUUCAAACCUGUCACUGCAAUAUAUAUCAUCAGCCAUUUUGUUGCAACAGAGAGUAAAAGUGUUCACUUGUUCGACACAUAACUACCACAAGUAGAACAAUCUAGAAAAGAGUUCUGACUAUAUAAUACAAACCAUGGCAAAUUUAAAUCUCUCAGUCUCAUAUACCAACAAUGCUUCAAGGACCAUCACCAUCAUUUUUCUUUCUUACAGCAGAACUUUAUAAAAAAACAUAAACUAAACACUCUCGUCUUGCCUUUUGGUCCAGAUACAUAGAUGUUAGACAAGGCAAAGAGUAGUGUGUUGUUUUUAAAAAGAUCACCUGGUAAAACUCUGGGAGAUGAGAGCAAAUAAACAAAGCGAUGAUGAUGACGGUCUUGGUUUAUCUAUCUGAGAGUUUUAUAAGCCAUGCCUGUGAAAAACAGAAACUGUUUGGAGGUGUAUCUACACGAAUGAUUGUAAAACAGAGGGGUCAGAUUUUCUUUUUUUUCCUAAGAAACUGUCCUUUGUGGCGUGCUGUCUGCUUUUAUCUUCAGAGUACCUAGAGCGAACAAGAGGAAUACGAAACAACGUCAGAGAACGAGAGAGAAACAAACAUGAGACAACAUAAGGUGAAAGAAGAGAGUAAAAAUAUGCUUACAGCCUUAGUGCAACGGCCUACAAAGAAAUUCACAGGUUUGUUAUUUGCCAUAACGAUUACUUAUAUCCUCCUCCAUCCCACCCACCGUCUGGUUCCUUCCUCUUGAGAGUACCACCUGACAUUUGAUACAUUCUUGCUUCGUCUCUCAAAGGUAAAGAACCAGAGGAAGAUAGUUGUCUUUGUACGAGUGCUGCUUCAUCAGUUUCAUGCCCUCCUGGUCCAGAGUUCAAGUCAAGACCAGAUCUAAACCAUUUUGCAUUGUUGCUGCUGUCCGAAACUCCACCAUUGCUACUACCGUUUGGGAGAUUAACAACAUACGGCCUUGGGUAAUUAGAAGGGAUGGCAACUCCUGGACCCAAUAUUUGAGAGUUGACAGGAGGGAAGCAUAGCCUGCCACUUGAUGAAGAGUCCAUGUAUGGUGUUGAAGCACCUGAAAAAUUUGCUGAGGAAAGAGGAAAGCUGGAACCAAAAGGGAACCCAGGAUACUGAAAUGCUGAUGGUGGGAAUGAAACUGCUGGAGAAGACAGUAAAACAGGGCCUCUGUACAUAUCAGGUGUAUAUGAUGAAACUUCAGAUGUUGGACCAACCAUUCUCUGCGGUCCAUUGCCACGUUCAGGCAAGACUUGAGGAAUGCUCAUUGCUGAAUAAUUGUUAACAGCAGGAAACCAAGAUGAGAAGCCAGGCCUUAUUCCACUGAUCAUUGGCUGUGCACUUCGGGAAUUUUGACUAAAACCCAGAGAUGACUCAACAACGUUAACAUCAUCAACAGCAGGUCCAUCGUUUAAAUCAAAAUCCCUACUACCACCAGAAGAUAAGUUUGCCUGUUGAAAAGUUGAAUUCACUCGAUGAACACUGCUUAUUGUAUGAUUAUUCAUAUCAGCUGGAUCAUCAAGUCUGUUUAGAUCAAGAUCCAGAAAUAUUGUUAUAAUGUUUUUCAACACAUUUGUUAAGAAAAUUAAAUAUAUAUAUAUAUUUAAAUUAAAAGAUAUCAAAUUAUAUUAUGAUUUAAGUAGUUAAAAGAUUAUAUAUUAGCAUUAAGGAAAUAUAUUUAAUACAAAUUUUAAAUAAUGAUCCGAAUAAAAAUAUCAUACAUGAAUCAAGGUGAGGUUGUUAACCCAUCCGGAUUUUUAGGAGUGGAUGUUAUAUUAGGAAUGAUAUAUUAUAAAUCUAUAUUAUUAGUAAUAAAUGAAUUAACUAAUUUCUAGUGAGGGUCCAUUUUUAAAAAAAUCAUACAUGAAUCAAAGUUGUGACUUGUGUUUUAAUAUAUAAGAUGUUUAUUUUCGUUAUAAAAAACAUUUAAAACCUUGGCUCCCAUUGUCCCUUUGUAACUUUGAGGCUUUUCUUUUUUAGAGGAUUUCAUGUUAAUUACGUCAUUGGUCUUCUGCGUAUGGCCUUUUUCUUUUGUAUAAUGAAUCAUAUGAUAUAUAGAACUGCAUGAUUAAACAAAACUUGUAAAACUGUGUUUUGAAUAUGAGAAGGUAUUUGUAUAUUACAUUUUAUAGUUUAAUUAUAACUAGUUUCAUUUCGCAGUUUUCGUUUCAUUAAGUAUGUUUAUUUGACAUAUUAAAUCCAUGCUUUGUCAUUUUAUUGUAUUAUUAGUCAGCUAUUUCUUAUAUAUUUUUUGGAAGUGUUGGUGGGAAUGACUUGUAAAAUACUGAAAUAAAAUACAUUUUUCAACUAGCUAGAGAGUAACAAGCCCCGUGGUCCUCCUUGUGAACAACACCUCUCUAAUUAACAGACUUUUGCAUUUUCAUAUUCAUGGUGGUUGCGUCGAUAUAUAGAGUCGUAGGUAUUACUCCAACAAUUAACUUAUCUUUAUAUAUUUAUAUAACUUUUGUUAAUCAUUGAGCUAAGGCUUUUGGUAGAUGUCCUCACAAGGUUUUGAUCCCCAACAUCCAUCUAUAAAUCAUUAUAUAUAUAUAAACACAUGUAAUAUCGAUUAAUUAACAACACUUUUAUUUUCUAAAGCAGAACUGUACAAUCUGUAUCUAUUAACAAACAAAAAUGAAUUAUUUGGUAAGAAUGUUCGAUAUAUAAAAGUUGCUAUGAUUCUUUUGUGAAUCUUGAAUUUUUGUUGCUGGUUGUUGCCAACGAACUCUUGUUGGUCGAGUUUACAUUAUAUUAUGGAGUAAAUUCCAUGAUAAAGUUUUUGAAAAUAUACAGGUCCACAUAAAAGGCCAGGCCAUUUUCUACAAGUAUAAAUAAAAUAACAAAUAUUAUAUAAACAGUUGCAUACCAUACUAUUUUUCUAUUUUAAUUAUAAACAUUAAUUUAUAAUAAUAGUCAAGUAGCAUGAUAAACAUAUUUUUAUAACACAAAAAAAAAAAUUGAUAAAUCUUUCUUAUAAUGUAUUUGUUGAAAUGCUGGUUUCAGUGAUUUUCUAUGGAGAUGUUUUGUUUAAUGAUAUAACAUCCUAAAAUUCUAUAUAAAACUCAUAAUAUGCUAGAACAUCCACAUUAGGAGUAUUUUAGAGUAUCCAAUGAGAACAAAAGAAAAAUAUUGAAAAAGAAGGAAAAUGGUGUGGAAAUGCUAUAAAAGUUUUUUAAAUUAGAUAUGUAAUAUUUUUCUUUUUGAGAAGCCCAUCUUCACAUGUCAUAUUGGUUUAAUUUUUUUUUUAAAUAAAUAGAUAAUCAAAUUUUAAGUAAAAACCAAUGUUGUAUUUGGUUUGAUACUUAUAAGAGUAUCUCACCAUUGAAGAAGUUUUUUAUGCUCUAUAGUCAUAGUAUUUCACAUGGCAUAUCCGAGAGAAACACAAAAAUAACAAAAACAUGCAUUCAACAGUACACAUAUGAAUGAUAUCAUCAGCCAUCUUGACUUGUCACUAUUGCUCAACGUGACUAUUAUUAAAGAAAGACUGCAUAGUAAAUGGUUAUUACCGUGGCGUAAUAAUAUGUAUUGUAACAACUGGUGUUGUGUCAUUAACUCAAGAAGCAAAAGAUGGAUGCUCAUCAUGUGAGUUCACCACCGCUCCUUCAAAACAAAGCCACCAAACACCCAUCUAAACACACUAUAUUUAAUUAUCUCACUCCUCUCAUAUUAAAGUAAUCAUCACCUCACUUUUAUCUCUCUCUCUCUGUUUUAUUCUUCUUCUUGUGAAUGGUGUUGUAGAGAAGAAGAAUGGCUUCAAGUGCUUCAAAGUUCAUCAAAUGUGUAACUGUUGGUGAUGGUGCCGUUGGUAAAACCUGUAUGCUCAUCUGCUACACCAGCAACAAGUUCCCUACUGUGAGUAGUUCGUUAACUACACCUCUCUCUCUCUGAAAUUUUGAUCAAGAAUCUCAUCUGGGUUUCUCAGAUUCACUUGAAAGUUCCAAUCUUUUACUGAAAAUCUUUCUGGGUUUGUCAAAUUUUAGCUUCCCUAUUGCUUAAAGGUUCUUAGAAUUCAUCGGUGUAAUUCAAAGUUAGCUCCUUUUUAUAGGGAUUAUGCAUGAACUAAGAUCCAGCUUUGUGUUUCUCCUAACAACAUCUGGAUUCUUCAGAAUGUUCUUGAAAGUUUCAAUCUUUUACUGAAAAUCUUUCUGGGUUUGUCAAAUUUUAGCUUCCACAUUGCUUAAAGGUUCUUAGAAUUCAUCUGUGUGAUUCAAAGUUAGCUCCUUUACUAGGGGGAUUAUGCAUGAACUAUGAUCCAGAUAUUUGUGUUCUCUUUCUCCUAACAAUCUUUCUUUAGAGUUGAUUUAUGCAAAACUGUGAAUUGGUUGUAAACAGGACUAUGUACCAACGGUUUUUGACAACUUUAGUGCAAACGUUGUAGUUGAAGGAACUACUGUGAACUUAGGGCUAUGGGAUACUGCUGGUAACCAACAUUUCUUUUCUUUUGAUUGAUUUGAGAUAUUGUUGCAUAGACCAAGAUCCUGUUUGGGUUGUGUUUUGUUUUGCAGGGCAAGAAGACUAUAACAGAUUAAGGCCUUUAAGUUACAGAGGAGCAGAUGUUUUCGUCUUGUCUUUCUCAUUGGUCAGCCGAGCUAGCUAUGAAAAUGUUUUUAAAAAGGUUUUGAUUCAUGCAUCUCUCUUUGAACUCAAUAAGACUUGUAACAAUGUCAAGUCAUUUCUAAUGUUAUGUAUGACUUCUUCUUGUUGAGUCUCAGUGGAUCCCUGAACUCCAACACUUUGCUCCAGGAGUUCCAUUAGUUCUUGUCGGUACCAAAUUGGGUAAGAAACUGAUGAGCAUUUGCCUCUGCAUUGUUUCAGAUAUGUUGCAUGUAUUAUUGAUUCUUAGUUACUACAUCAAAAUGUAGAUCUCCGUGAGGAUAAGCAUUAUCUGACAUUGCUUAAAGGUUCUUAGAAUUCAUCUGUGUGAUUCAAAGUUAGCUCCUUUACUAGGGGGAUUAUGCAUGAACUAUGAUCCAGAUAUUUGUGUUCUCUUUCUCCUAACAAUCUUUCUUUAGAGUUGAUUUAUGCAAAACUGUGAAUUGGUUGUAAACAGGACUAUGUACCAACGGUUUUUGACAACUUUAGUGCAAACGUUGUAGUUGAAGGAACUACUGUGAACUUAGGGCUAUGGGAUACUGCUGGUAACCAACAUUUCUUUUCUUUUGAUUGAUUUGAGAUAUUGUUGCAUAGACCAAGAUCCUGUUUGGGUUGUGUUUUGUUUUGCAGGGCAAGAAGACUAUAACAGAUUAAGGCCUUUAAGUUACAGAGGAGCAGAUGUUUUCGUCUUGUCUUUCUCAUUGGUCAGCCGAGCUAGCUAUGAAAAUGUUUUUAAAAAGGUUUUGAUUCAUGCAUCUCUCUUUGAACUCAAUAAGACUUGUAACAAUGUCAAGUCAUUUCUAAUGUUAUGUAUGACUUCUUCUCGUUGAGUCUCAGUGGAUCCCUGAACUCCAACACUUUGCUCCAGGAGUUCCAUUAGUUCUUGUCGGUACCAAAUUAGGUAAGAAACUGAUGAGCAUUUGCCUCUGCAUUGUUUCAGAUAUGUUGCAUGUAUUAUUGAUUCUUAGUUACUACAUCAAAAUGUAGAUCUCCGUGAGGAUAAGCAUUAUCUGGCUGACCAUCCUGGACUAUCCCCUGUAACUACUGCACAGGUUUGAUCUCAGUAGAUUUCAGUAGCUUUGUGUGUGUAUGAGUUAAACGUUUUGGUAUGACAGGGAGAGGAAUUGCGUAAGCUAAUUGGUGCAACAUAUUACAUUGAAUGUAGCUCAAAAACUCAACAGGUAUAUAACAGAUUCAUUUACAUUGACUCGAGCUGCAUAGUCUUAGACAACUCUUGAGCGUUGAGAGUUUACAUUUUGCAGAAUGUCAAAGCAGUUUUUGAUUCGGCAAUCAAGGAAGUGAUCAAACCGGUGGUUAAACAGAAGGACAAGACCAAGAAAAAGAAGAAGCAACAGUCGAAUCACCACGGGUGUUUAUCGUGAGUGUAUACACAACAAACCUUCAUAGAUUUCUGCUUCUAGAUUCCUUUGAAAAAGAAACUGACUUCACCUCUUUGUUUUUGGACAGAAACGUUUUGUGUGGGAGGAUAGUGACUCGGCAUUGAUGAUAACCCAAACUCUGUCUGAUGUUUUGUAUUCCACUUUUGAGUUUGUAUGAUAAAUGAGAGACAUUAUAUAUAUAUAUAUAUAUAGAUUGAAUCAUAGUCAAUCAAUAGUUUACAUGGAAGAGAGAGAUAGAGAGCUUUUACUAUUAUUGUCAAACUCAAUUAUGUUUUAUUUGUUUCAAACCUGUCACUGCAAUAUAUAUCAUCAGCCAUUUUGUUGCAACAGAGAGUAAAAGUGUUCACUUGUUCGACACAUAACUACCACAAGUAGAACAAUCUAGAAAAGAGUUCUGACUAUAUAAUACAAACCAUGGCAAAUUUAAAUCUCUCAGUCUCAUAUACCAACAAUGCUUCAAGGACCAUCACCAUCAUUUUUCUUUCUUACAGCAGAACUUUAUAAAAAAACAUAAACUAAACACUCUCGUCUUGCCUUUUGGUCCAGAUACAUAGAUGUUAGACAAGGCAAAGAGUAGUGUGUUGUUUUUAAAAAGAUCACCUGGUAAAACUCUGGGAGAUGAGAGCAAAUAAACAAAGCGAUGAUGAUGACGGUCUUGGUUUAUCUAUCUGAGAGUUUUAUAAGCCAUGCCUGUGAAAAACAGAAACUGUUUGGAGGUGUAUCUACACGAAUGAUUGUAAAACAGAGGGGUCAGAUUUUCUUUUUUUUCCUAAGAAACUGUCCUUUGUGGCGUGCUGUCUGCUUUUAUCUUCAGAGUACCUAGAGCGAACAAGAGGAAUACGAAACAACGUCAGAGAACGAGAGAGAAACAAACAUGAGACAACAUAAGGUGAAAGAAGAGAGUAAAAAUAUGCUUACAGCCUUAGUGCAACGGCCUACAAAGAAAUUCACAGGUUUGUUAUUUGCCAUAACGAUUACUUAUAUCCUCCUCCAUCCCACCCACCGUCUGGUUCCUUCCUCUUGAGAGUACCACCUGACAUUUGAUACAUUCUUGCUUCGUCUCUCAAAGGUAAAGAGCCAGAGGAAGAUAGUUGUCUUUGUACGAGUGCUGCUUCAUCAGUUUCAUGCCCUCCUGGUCCAGAGUUCAAGUCAAGACCAGAUCUAAACCAUUUUGCAUUGUUGCUGCUGUCCGAAACUCCACCAUUGCUACUACCGUUUGGGAGAUUAACAACAUACGGCCUUGGGUAAUUAGAAGGGAUGGCAACUCCUGGACCCAAUAUUUGAGAGUUGACAGGAGGGAAGCAUAGCCUGCCACUUGAUGAAGAGUCCAUGUAUGGUGUUGAAGCACCUGAAAAAUUUGCUGAGGAAAGAGGAAAGCUGGAACCAAAAGGGAACCCAGGAUACUGAAAUGCUGAUGGUGGGAAUGAAACUGCUGGAGAAGACAGUAAAACAGGGCCUCUGUACAUAUCAGGUGUAUAUGAUGAAACUUCAGAUGUUGGACCCACCAUUCUCUGCGGUCCACUGCCUCGUUCAGGCAAUACUUGAGGAAUACUCAUUGCUGAAUAAUUGUUAACAGCAGGAAACCAAGAUGAGAAGCCAGGCCUUAUUCCACUGAUCACUGGCUGUGCACUUCGGGAAUUUUGACUAAAACCCAGAGAUGACUCAACAACGUUAACAUCAUCAACAGCAGGUCCAUCGUUUAAAUCAAAAUCCCUACUACCACCAGAAGAUAAGUUUGUCUGUUGAAAAGUUGAAUUCACCCGAUGACCACUGCUUACUGUAUGAUUAUUCAUAUCGGCUGGAUCAUCAAGUCUGUUUAGAUCAAGAUCCAGUACACCAGAGGGAUUUGUGGGAUUGGCAAAUCUUUGGGAAGGCAGCUCUUCAAGAACUCUUUCAUCCGGUACAUUUAGGUCGAAGUCCAAGAGUGUCUUUGUUUGCUUGCCAGCGGUUGUAGAAGCAUCACAGGAAGCCACCUCUUGGACUUUUCUUGGCUCAGCUGGUCUGAAGGCGCUAGUGGCAGCAGAUCCUCUCCACCCAACAGCUGGUUUAUUUCUCAACAGAUCAUCACGCGGAACAAAAGCACCCUUUGCAGCAGCAGCAACUGUAAUGGAUGCAGGAGGUCGACUGGUUUGUAAAGGAGUAGAUGUCAAAGACAACGAUCCAGAGAAGUUACUUGAAUUCUCCUUUCGUGUGUCAUCCCCAUUGAAAGCUUCAUUUAGGUCAAAUUUAACUCCGGCUUCCAGCUCUGACCCUGCUAAAGCUGAAACUGAAGGGACAUCUUUGGCAACAGAGGUACAUUCCUCUGUUUCAUGCCCAUCAGCACAUGUUGUCGUGGCGCACUGUUUUCCGACUUCAGCACUCUUUAGAGACGCCUCCACAUGCUCAACUUCAAUCUUAGUUACAGAUGAGUCCAGAUGAGCUGUCACAGGUUUGUUCUUUUUAUCUGUUUGGUUCACAUGAUUAAUCCCUAUGUCGAUCUUUUCUGCAGCCACUCCCUUGGAGAACCCAGACGAAACUUUUACAUCUUCACCCGUUUCUUUAACCAACUCGGAACUCAAGACUACCGGGGGUUUCUGCUCUUUCUUGUUAUCAUCGACUACAUCAGAGUGCGAAUUUGCAACAGCCAAGGAAUCUACUUUGGGACAUAAUACGAUGGCUUUACAUUCAGCUGGCGCAGAAGUUUCCACUGAUGUACAAGCAGCCUUUCGAUCGUUAGCUGUUCCAUCACAAUCAUUAUCAUCAGACAAUUUCUCUGGCAUCGAUCUAUCAACAUUUUCAGUACUCCUAUCCUUGGCAAACUCUGACAAAACUGAAACCACUUCACCCAUUUUAUUAACUAGCUCAGAACUUAAUAUCACCUUUGGUUUAUCUUCCACCUGAGCACCACCAGCAGCCUCCAAGUGUGAAUCUUCAGCAGUCAAAGAAUCUGCAUUUUGACUUAUGCCAAUGGUUUUACAUAUACGUAGGGCAGAGUUUCCUGUCCUCAUCACUGUAUCUGCCACUCGAUCUGUCUCUGAUAUCUCAUCAGUCUUUAGGUCACUAACUACCCCACUAUCACCAUCAUCAGAAAUGUUUCCCCCAAUGCCUGAUGUGUGCCCAGCGGUUGGGGCAAUAUCAUCUGAAUUUUCAUUGCUUUCUAGGCACUGAUCCACCAAUCUUUGCAACUCUUCGAUUUCUGAAUCGGAGUUCUCAUCAAGAUCUCCCGGCUUAGAAUCAUUUUCAUUCUCUACAACGGCCAACUGCUCGCCACUACUACUGACAUGUUCAACAAUGGUGGGAUUCACAUUAUCCGCUUGCUCGCUAGGCAAGCCAUCCAAAGAAUCUGAAACCCGAGAUACCGAGGGUGAUGCAACAGGGGAUUUGGACAUUUCAUCAGCAGCAACAGUAGCUAGAAGAUUCAUUCCAACAUCAUCUGCACCAGCCACACAUGCAUUCGCCUCAGAGUCCCUGACACAACUUUCAAUCAAAGCAUUCAUUAAGCUGUGUGAUUCACCAUGCCCUUUUUCAGUUUUGACAUCAUCUCCUGAGGUAGGAGACGUGGGCUUGACAAUAUCUUCUAUUUUACUAGACUCAUUAACAGCCUUCUCGUGCCCAUCACCACGUUCACCACAUUUAGGCAGCUUAACCAUCAACUUAUUGCUACAACCUUCAGCUUUCUCAAAAGUUACAGUUCUUUGUGAUGAGAUGCUCCUGCUCAGCCCAACUUCUGCGUGGACUGCAACAGUAUUUUUUUGCUGCCCAACGUUAGCAACAGCAACACCUGUUCCAGGUGAUGGGGCUGAUCUAGUAGAACUUGGAGAGGUGGUUGCAGACUUCACGCUGUUAUCUGAAAUACCGGACACGGACUUAAAAGGAUGUAGAUGAGACACUGAUGUCUUGGUUGCAUCAAAGGAUACAACUGAGUGUCUACUGCCAUGGGAAACUUCAGACUGACGAGGUCUUCCAGGCUUGGCAUCCAUUUCUGCCUCAACACGUUUCUUCCAUGUAUCAACCAAGCUCCUUGCCUUUUUCCCAAUUUCUGAGUUCUUAUGUGAUCGCAAUCGAUUAACAGACUUCCCAAUGUUGCAAGUCUGAAGAGCAUUGAGAUUCACAGGCAGCUUGUCAAGAGCACGUAGUAAAAUCAAAAGAAACUCGUCCACUGAUCUAUCAUUUUCUUUGGGACUGCUCCCAUCCCCAAUUUUCCUUCUAUGAACCUCCUGUAGCCACUCAUCAAAAACAGAUAAACCCCUCAGCUGGACGAAACGACUGAGACAGUCAAACUUGUCUGUUGCUGCUACAGCACUUGCAAGAAUGGACCGCCCAAUCAAAUCUGUCUUCUUCUCAUUCUUCUCAGGUAGCAUGAGCUGUACCAAUUUCUCAACCCCUUCAGAAUCCACUAGCCUCCCUCUCUCAGUAAUUUUUGCAAUCUCAGACUUCAAACUGCUUUCUUUUCUUACAAAACCAGAACCACCAUCAUCACCUCGGCUCGGACGUUCCCUUUUCACAGAUUCAGAACCCUGAUCACCACGCUCUCUCUUCCUUCCCUUGCCCUGUGAAGAAGAGGAGCUACUGUUCUGCAUACCUUCUGUUCCUGUUUUCACUUGAGAUGUUGUUAACCUAGGAGAACAACCACACUGCUGUAAACUCUUACACAAUAACUUAUCUACUUCUUGUUGACGUUCCUGCAUUAAAAAAAAAAAAAAAAAAUUUGCCAAAAAAAAAAAUGUUACAUGGACCUGACAAAUGAAGGUUGUCAAGAGGAAAUAAGAAUACUAUUCCAGGCAAGCCAAAGAUCUCGUUAGGCUGAGCCUCCAAAAGGACGCCCUUCCCAAGCUUCAACUCACCGGGUCGAUACAGCCAAUUCACACGAACCUUAAAGCUACCUCCUUCUUCUCGUUCCGGAACCAGCAAACGGAUCAAACCAAUGAACGGUGGACAAUCCUGAGGCGGCUUAAACAGAGCACAGUCACCAACACUAAUCCUCCUCCCGUCCUGCAAUAACCAUCAUCAAAAUCAAAACUUUAAAUCAAAUCGGAACCAAUCAAAAGCCAAUUGAGACGAAUCAAGUUACCUUAGAGAAGGAAGAAGGUGAAGAAAGAGAGAGCGACGAAGAAGAAGAAGAAGCGGUUGAGAUUAGACGCGAAGGAGGUCUAAGCAUAAGCAGACGACGAUGACCUUUCUUCCUCCCAUGCAUAGCCGUCUCUCAUUUUUUCCCCUUUCGAAUCAAAACAAACACAAUUUCGUCUUCCUUGUCAGAAUUGGUUUUCGAUUAAAAAAAACCCUAAAAUUGAGAUUAAAAGAAGAAGAUGCGAUUCCUUAGGGAUUGAUUUUUGAAAUCGAGUACCUGAUCCAAUCAACCCGCGAAGAUCCAACAGCGAGAAGAAGAAGAAACCCCCGUAGAGUGCGAGACACGAAUCGAAAGCACGCCCUUGUUUGUUUUUUCGAUCCAGCGAAGAAGAAGAAGAAGAAGAAGAAGAAAAAAAAAUAAAAUCGAGAGAGAGAGAGAGAGAGAGACGAAGGCAAAAGGGGGGUACUACGAGUCGGGGCAGUUCGGGCAUGUGUUUCGGGCAGCGUUUUUAUUUAUUUUGUUUUUGGUUUUCUGGUGACAUUUGAGUGUGUUUUUCUUUUCUCCCCCCUUUUUAUAGCUCUUUUUGAUUUUUCUAAUUUUUUCCUAAAUUUAAAACAAAACGAACUUCGUGAUUUAAAAAAAAAAGUUAUUUGGGUUAAACACAAAAAAAAGUCUGAUCAUUUAUAAAAAUCAAACGAAAUUUAGGAUCAUUUUUAAUCAACAAACUCAAAAAUAAAUGUGAGUACUUUAUAAAAUAAAAUUAGAGAAAUGUUCUGCUCAUUUUGUUUCAUAUAAUGUAUUUUAAAAAAUGUUCUCGCGUAUUUAAAAUUGAAUUAGAAACUCUAUUUUAUCCGUUGACACACUUUUUUAUUUAUUUAAUACACUAAUACAAUAAGGUUAAAAAUGAACAUUUAUUUAAAUUUUGUAUUGAAAAUAAAAAACGACACACUUUUUGAAAUAAAAAUAAAACUCUAAACACACUUUUUAAGAAACUGGGAAGUAUUAUCUAAUAUUUAUAGAAGAAAAUAUCACAUUCAUCUAAAAAUAGAAAAAAAAAUAUAACAUAUUGGAGUAAAAUCUUCAUUUUCUGUAUCUUUAGAUAUGUGCACAUUUUCUUGCCAAGAAGAUAAGAAAUAUUGAAAUUUUCUUUUUUCCAUGUAGAUCAGAUCUGGUCUGAGAGAGCGUCUCUUUGGAACGUAUCAGCCAUGACUAAUACUUAUCUUAUAAAAUAAGUGUCGUAAAAAAAUGGAGUAAAAUUCCUAUGUAUUUGAAAAAUUCUAUUUUUAGUGGAAAAAAACUAGAAGAGAGAUUAUCUAUAUAGCAAGCAAACUAAAAUUAUAAGCAUGAAUAAGUUGUUUCCACAAGUUUACAAAACCGAUCAGUUUAUAUAAUAAUUUUGUGAUUUGAUCCAGUUUAUUCUGGCUGAUUACGGUUUGAAUGUGGUGACCUACCCUCCACAACAAGUUAUGUUUGGUUAUGAUUUUUAUGCGAGGAUCUUUUGGUUACAUUGUACAGUGUCAAAUCACUGUCAUCAAAGUACAAGUCAAUCAUUGUCUCUCUUUGACACAGACAUUAACUUUUUGUACAAUGAGACUCGGAAGCUAUUUGAGUAGCUUCCAGUGACAUUUGGCUUCUUCACUCACCGAUUGCUCCUAAACAUGUUCUUCACAAGGCACAGAAUAUGUAGAACAUCUCAAGAUUUUGAGACGGUAAUGUUAGCUACUUGAAGGUUCCAUAAUUGCAUAGGUGACAAGACCAGUCAAAACUGGCAAUUGGAGAUGGUGCAAAUGAUGUUGGAAUGCUUGGGAUCAGUGGAGUGGAAGCAAUGCAGGUUCUUUAAGGAAUCUCAGAACAACCAUUUGCACGGUUUUGUCUCAAGGUAUAAUGAAACAUUCAAAUCAAAAAGAGCUGCGUAGUUUGCUGUAUAGUGGAGUUUCUUAACCCAAAGUCUUGCUUUGUUUGCUGUAACUGUUCCCUAUAUUGUACCAGGAAGUGGUACAAAAUCUCCCCUUUGGUUGUUACAUGGCUUCUGCAGCACAGUAAUCAUUUUCUUCCUCUGCAAAACCUCUCUUGAAUCCCAAGCUUUCAACCACCAAGGGAAAACCGCAGGGGAGAGAGAGAUUUUUGGAGGAACUAUGUACACAUGUGGGUUGUGAGUUAGCAGAUGGUACAAUCAGUUACUACCUGUUAUUGCAAUAUAUGAGCCAUUUUGUUAUAACAGAGACUAAAAGUUCUGAAAUGUGGAUUCAACCAUAACUAACCACAAGUAAAAAAAUCUACAAAAGAGUUGCUGCUGACUAUAUAAUACACAAACCAUGUCAGAUUUUACCAGUCUCAUACCAACAAUGACCAUCAUUUUUUCUUUUACAGCAGAGCUCCAAAAAAAAAAGAGAAAAAAAAACAUAAACUAAACACUCGCUUGCAUCUCUAAAAGAGAUAAGGAACUAAGUUAGCGUCUGCUUUUAUCUUCAAGAGUACCUAAGAGCCAACAAAGAUGAAUUAGAAACACAGUCAGCGAGAGAUAAUAUAAAGAAAGAAACAGAAGAUGCUAGAGCUGAAAGAAGAGAGUAAAAAUAUGCUUACAUGCUUAGUGCAACGGCCUACAAAGAGAUUCUGAGGUUUGUUAUUGCCAAGAGGGUUGCUUGUAUCCAUCCCAUCCACCACUGUCUGGUUCCUUCCUCUUGAGAGUACCACCAAACAUUUGAUACAUUCUUGCUUCAUCUUUCAAGGGUAAAGAACCAGAGGAAGAUAGCUGUCUUUGUACAAGUGCUGCUUCAUCUCUGCCAUCAGUUUCAUGCCCUCCUGGUCCAGAGUUCAAGUCAAGACCAGAUCUCAACCAUUUUGCAUUGUUGCUGUCCGAAACUCCACCAUUGCUGUUUGGGAGAUUAACGACAUAAGGCCUUGGGUAGUUAGAAGGGAUGGCAACUCCUGGACCCAAUAUUUGAGAGUUGACAGGAGGGAAGCAUAGCCUGCCACUUGAUGAAGAGUCCAUGUAUGGUGUUGAAGCACCUGAAAAAUUUGCUGAGGAAAGAGGAAAGCUGGAACCAAAAGGAAACCCAGGAUACUGAAAUGCUGAUGGUGGGAAUGAAACUGCUGGAGAAGACAGUAAAACAGGGCCUCUGUACAUAUCAGGUGUAUAUGAUGAAACUUCAGAUGUUGGACCAACCAUUCUCUGCGGUCCAUUGCCACGUUCAGGCAAGACUUGAGGAAUGCUCAUUGCUGAAUAAUUGUUAACAGCAGGAAACCAAGAUGAGAAGCCAGGCCUUAUUCCACUGAUCAUUGGCUGUGCACUUCGGGAAUUUUGACUAAAACCCAGAGAUGACUCAACAACGUUAACAUCAUCAACAGCAGGUCCAUCGUUUAAAUCAAAAUCCCUACUACCACCAGAAGAUAAGUUUGUCUGUUGAAAAGUUGAAUUCACCCGAUGACCACUGCUUACUGUAUGAUUAUUCAUAUCGGCUGGAUCAUCAAGUCUGUUUAGAUCAAGAUCCAGUACACC